GGGGGGGGGGGGGGGGGGGGGGGGGGGGGGGGGGGCGGGGGGGGGGGCGGGGGUGUGGGGGGGUGCGGGGGGGGCGCACGGGGGGGGGGCACGGGAGUCGCGGGCGCUGGGCUUUGGGAUGACUUCAGGAGACGGCGGAUAAGCACGGCUAGGAGCGCCGGAGGCAGGGGGUGCGUGAGAGAGUUUGGGCGGUUGGGGAUGGACUCGCGGCGUAUCAUCUGGUUGGUGGGUGAGUGGCUUACCAAGGCAUUGACGGGGCGCCGGCCCGGGAGGGUGACCGGCCACAUUGGGACUGAGAUACGGCCCAGACUCCUACGGGAGGCAGCAGUGGGGAAUAUUGCACAAUGGGCGGAAGCCUGAUGCAGCAACGCCGCGUGUGGGAUGACGGCCUUCGGGUUGUAAACCGCUUUCGCCUGUGACGAAGCGUGAGUGACGGUAAUGGGAAAAGAAGCACCGGCUAACUACGUG
rnacentral:rRNA from 1 species